GAUCUCAUAGUAUAAUUUUUAAAUAUAUUUAAUUGCAAAUUAAAAGAUUUAUUGGGAUUU
rnacentral:tRNA from 1 species